AGUGAACGCUGGCGGUAGGCCUAACACAUGCGAGUCGAACGGCAGCACAGUAAGAGCUUGCUCUUACGGGUGGCGAGUGGCGGACGGGUGAGGAAUACAUCGGACUCUACUUUUUCGUGGGGGAUCACGUAGGGAAACUUACGCUAAUACCGCAUACGACCUACGGGUGAAAGCAGGGGAUCUUCGGACCUUGCGCGAUUGAAUGAGCCGAUGUCGGAUUAGCUAGUUGGCGGGGUAAAGGCCCACCAAGGCGACGAUCCGUAGCUGGUCUGAGAGGAUGAUCGGCCACACUGGAACUGAGACACGGUCCAGACUCCUACGGGAGGCAGCAGUGGGGAAUAUUGGACAAUGGGCGCAAGCCUGAUCCAGCCAUACCGCGUGGGUGAAGAAGGCCUUCGGGUUGUAAAGCCCUUUUGUUGGGAAAGAAAAGCAGCAGGUUAAUACCCCGCUGUUCUGACGGUACCCAAAGAAUAAGCACCGGCUAACUUCGUG
rnacentral:rRNA from 1 species